rnacentral:rRNA from 1 species
GCAGCUCAAGUGGUCGUCGCUUUUAUUGGGCCUAAAACGUCCGUAGCCUGUUUAGUAAAUCCGUGGGUAAAUCAACGAGCUUAACUCGUUGACUUCUGCGGACACUGCUAGACUUGGGACCGGGAGAGGUGUGGGGUACUCAUGGGGUAGGGGUAAAAUCCUGUCAUCCCAUGAGGACCACCAGUUGCGAAGGCGCCACACUAGAACGGAUCCGACGGUCAGGGACGAAGCCUAGGGGCACGAACCGGAUUAGAUACCCGGGUAGUCCUAGGUGUAAACGCUGUGGACUUUGUGUCGGGAAUUCUUCGAGGAUUCUCGGUGCCGGAGUGAAGAUGUUAAGUCCACUGCCUGGGGAGUACGGUCGCAAGGCUGAAACUUAAAGGAAUUGGCGGGGGAGCACAGCAACGAGAGGAGCGUGCGGUUUAAUUGGAUUCAACGCCGGAAAACUCACCAGAGCCGACGGACAAAUGAAGAUCAGCGUGAUGAGCUUAUUGGAUUGUUCGAGAGGUAGUGCAUGGCCGCCGUCAGUUCGUACCGCAAGGCGUUCUGUUAAGUCAGAUAACGAACGAGACCCUCAUCCCUAUUUGCUAAGAUCUCUCCGGAGGUCACAGGACUAUAGGGAGACCGCUGGCGCGAAGUCAGAGGAAGGCGAGGGCAACGGUAGGUCAGUAUGCUCCGAAUGCUUUGGGCUACACGCGCGCUACAAAGGACGGGACAAAGGGCCGCUACUCCGAGAGGAGAUGCUAUCCCGAAACCCGUUCGUAGUUCGGAUCGUGGGCUGUAACUCGCCCUCGUGAAGCUGGAUUUCGUAGUAAUCGCGUCUCAAAAUGGCGCGGUGAAUAUGCCCCUGCUCCUUGCACACACCGCCCGUCAAACCAUCUUAGUUGGGAUUGGGUGAGGCUGCGCUUUAUGGCGCAUUCGAGCCUGGUUUCGACAAGGAGGGUUAAGUCGUAACAAGGUAUCUGUA